rnacentral:lncRNA from 1 species
GGGUGACUCAGGACCAAGAUUUAGCACAUUUGUGAGGCUGUGACUCUGCUACAGGUACACAGUCCAUGGGGAAUUGAAGAUUGUUAAUCUCAUCCCUAGACGUUUUUGCAGGUGUGAUUAUGACAUAUGCCUCUUCUUAGCGCCUGAAUGGUUAGACUCUUGCUUGCGCCCAGCCCACAAGUGGAAAUUGUGACAUAUUGCUGGACCCCAACCUAGGUGAUGUGACUCUAUUCUUUUUCCUUGGUACUUCCCACAGGAGCAUCUUGACAGAUCGCUGGGCCUUGCACCCAAGUGAUGAAAUGUGUCUCUCCUCUUCUGCCUGCACCUUGCCCACAGAGAAAAUUGUGACAUAUUACUGAGCCUAGCAACCAGGUGAUGUGUCUCUCCUGCCUGGGCCUGGCUGACAGAAAGCAGUGUGAUAUAUUCCCG